CUUUUAUAUACUGCUUCUGGCCUCACAGAAUCAUAGAUUUCGCGGCAAGGACUAGGCAGAAGACAGCAACACAAGCCGAUUGCCCCAAGCAACAACCUUGUUAGAUAAUCACAAGAGAGUAGCUUCGACGUAGAAGAAACCUGUAGCAAUCCUUUAAAUCCCAUGGCUGCGCUGAUGAGUUCUUCUGUUACUCCCGGAGGCUUGGCGCCUCACACCUCUAAGGUUUCUACUCGCCGCCGCUGGAAUCCAGUGAUCUCCUCCGCUUCGUGCCAUCACCGCCGAGGUCUUAUCGGCUUGACGAUGAAUUCUUCAGGCAUGAACAAUGCCUUCCCGUUCAAAGGAACGACUACACGAAUUCAAGCAGUUGGUCCUGGCCCGGCAAAUCCGUCAGGAGGAAAUCUCCCAAUACCCAACAUGCCUCCAUGGGCCAAGUGGGUGGUUGGUGCUGUCAUAGUUGCGAUACCAAUUUACAGAAGGUUCAGAACAUUGGAAGAUAAGAUAGAGAAGACGGCAGAGGUGGCGAUCGAGGUGGUCGACACGGUGGCGGAGGCGACGGAGAAGGUCGCCGGCGAGAUCGCGGACGCGUUCCCCGGCAACGAAAACCUCAAGGAGGCCGCCUCGAGGAUUCAGACGGUCACGGAUGCGAUCGAGGGAGAUGCCGAGAAAGCCGAGGCCCUGAUCCACAAGGUGCUAGUCUGCUUGGCAACGUGAUAGGAGUGGCGUGCACGUUAGGCGCCGGGUCAUUGUGACGGUUCAAAAGAGGGGAAAUGAGGCGCUUGGCUACGACUUGCGAGGAAAGUGGAAAUUAAAUUGUUCAUUUGCUGAACUUUUCAUUUUAAUUAAGUGCUAGUUGCGGCUUGUGAAGGACAGUGGAAUAAAUAAAAUGAAUAAACUCAUUUUUAAGCGUCUACCCGGGACUAUCGUAUGCAAAUGGUGAGGUUAACUAUUUCCCUCGCUUGCAUUGAGCAGGUUGACGAGAUAAAGAAAGAGGUGGACUCAAUAGUUGAUCCUAUAAUCGACAAGGUCGUCAAGGAGGAGCAGGAGAGAAAUAAUUAAAUAAGUUGGGAUGCAAACUAAAGAAGCACACGCUUUUCCUUCUUGUUUGUUUCGCUUCUUUUCGUACCAGUAACCAGAAGAAGCUAGGGAGGCAAAAUGACGCGGCCCACAUGUCAUCCGCCCGGCCACUUACCUCAUUCAUCUGAUGUUUUUUUCUAGCCACGUGCUUGUACAGCUGCUGACUUUACCUACGAACCACAAGAAAGCAAGUUUGGUCGCCACUUA